rnacentral:rRNA from 1 species
CAGUCGCCACGGUAAUACGUAGGUGGCAAGCGUUGUCCGGAAUUAUUGGGCGUAAAGGGCUCGCAGGCGGUUUCUUAAGUCUGAUGUGAAAGCCCCCGGCUCAACCGGGGAGGGUCAUUGGAAACUGGGAAACUUGAGUGCAGAAGAGGAGAGUGGAAUUCCACGUGUAGCGGUGUAAUGCGUAGAGAUGUGGAGGAACACCAGUGGCGAAGGCGACUCUCUGGUCUGUAACUGACGCUGAGGAGCGAAAGCGUGGGGAGCGAACAGGAUUAGAUACCCGUGUAGUCCUGUCUCUUAUACC